UGGGGAAUAUUGCACAAUGGGCGCAAGCCUGAUGCAGCAACGCCGCGUGAAGGAAGAAGGGUUUCGGCUCGUAAACUUCUUUAGGCAGGGACGAAAAAAAUGACGGUACCUGCAGAAUAAGCCCCGGCUAACUACGUGCCAGCAGCCGCGGUAAUACGUAGGGGGCAAGCGUUAUCCGGAAUGACUGGGUGUAAAGGGUGAGUAGGCGGUUUGGUAAGUCAUAUGUGAAAUCCCAAGGCUCAACCUUGGGACUGCAUAAGAAACUAUCAGACUAGAGUGCAGGAGAGGUAAGCGGAAUUCCUAGUGUAGCGGUGAAAUGCGUAGAUAUUAGGAAGAACACCAGUGGCGAAGGCGGCUUACUGGACUGCAACUGACGCUAAGUCACGAAAGCGUGGGGAGCGAACA
rnacentral:rRNA from 1 species